CUUGUUUUACCGCGGCCCGAAACUGUUUCAUGCUUACCUAUGUUUUUGGAAUUGGCGCAUGUAUAUACACAUGCACAUACCGAGCCAAACUGAGAGCCCUCUAUUCCUUGCCAUCAAAGCCGUGCGGGGAUUGCUGUGUCCAUCACUUCUGCUUUUUUUGCGCUCUUUGUCAAGAGUACCGCGAGCUCAAAAACCGUGGAUUAGACCCUGAAGGAGGUUGGGUAGCAGCCGAGGCUAAUGCUAAGAAAUUGAGGGGCAGAACCACAGCACCUCCAGUUCCUUCACCAGGCAUGACUCGUUAGGGCUUGCUUUCAUGGCUGUUCUUCAUUCGUACUAAUGUUUAGUUUGUAAUUUGUUCCUUUGAUGAUACCUCAAGACCUAGUGCAUUUUCUUGUUUUUCUCAA